rnacentral:tRNA from 1 species
GCCCUGGUGGCACAACAGUUAAGUGCUUGGCUGCUAAUCUAAAGGUUGGUGGUUUCAAACCCACCCAGGGGCU